CGGCGGACGGGUGAGUAAUGCCUAGGAAUCUGCCUGGUAGUGGGGGACAACGUUUCGAAAGGAACGCUAAUACCGCAUACGUCCUACGGGAGAAAGCAGGGGACCUUCGGGCCUUGCGCUAUCAGAUGAGCCUAGGUCGGAUUAGCUAGUUGGUGAGGUAAUGGCUCACCAAGGCGACGAUCCGUAACUGGUCUGAGAGGAUGAUCAGUCACACUGGAACUGAGACACGGGUCCAGACUCCUACGGGAGGCAGCAGCC
rnacentral:rRNA from 1 species